rnacentral:pre_miRNA from 1 species
UAAUCUAUUUGAGGAAGAUCCUCAUUUAGUUAUGGCAAACCCACACUUAACUGCUCAGAAUCAUCUAACAUUAAAAAACAAAGAACAAAUAUUAUGUAAAUAAUAAUUUUUUGAGAUU